UACGUAGGGUCUGAGCGUUGUCCGGAAUUAUUGGGCGUAAAGAGCUCGUAGGCGGUCUGUCGCGUCGGCUGUGAAAACCUGGGGCUCAACUCCAGGCCUGCAGUCGAUACGGGCAGACUAGAGUUCGGUAGGGGAGACUGGAAUUCCUGGUGUAGCGGUGAAAUGCGCAGAUAUCAGGAGGAACACCGGUGGCGAAGGCGGGUCUCUGGGCCGAAACUGACGCUGAGGAGCGAAAGCGUGGGGAGCGAACAGG
rnacentral:rRNA from 1 species